GUUGCUUGGUUUCGUGGAUACAGAACAUGAUUUGGGCAUAGGGUUACUUGUGACUCUUGUUCUGUCCUUUAUCAGUGUUCUUUAUAACGACGGUUCAUGCGCGCCUAGGCUCGUACCUGCGCGAUGUUCUUUGUCGAAGAGGAAUGCUACCUGGUUGAUCCUGCCAGUAGUCAUAUGCUUGUCUCAAAGAUUAAGCCAUGCAUGUGUAAGUA
rnacentral:misc_RNA from 1 species